GUUAUGAUGUCUGUGAACACGUUUACGAUAACUCAAUACGAUGUAUAUAUUCCAGAGGUAAGUUAUGAUAUUGCGGUCUAGUUUAUCUUCCUGCGCUAAUGUUCGAUUAUUUCUUUCAGCUGAGAAUACAUUUCAAAAACUAUUUAAGGUUUCUGAAAAGAUAAAAAGAGGAAAAAAAAUCAUUAUAGGGUUUUAUCCUAAAACAGUAAAACCCACGUGGGUUAUGGACCAUUGCCUAUAUACUAUAACGAAUAAGAUUUUUGUUUUCUGUAACCC
rnacentral:lncRNA from 1 species